UUCUCGCUGAUCUUCAAAGGUUGAAAUUUGCCUGAAGCUAAAAAUGAAAGCUCUCUCCUGAGCUCACCCAGAUGGAACCUUAACCAUUAAAUCCUUCCAUUCCACGCCAAACACAGAAUCUCUUCAGUAAGGAACAGCUGAAGACCUAGCAGAGGGUAAAACCUGAUGAAUCAAUCUGGAGGAGAAGGACAAAUGAGAGGAGACUUCCACAGCCCAGAUGAAAGAAUCCUCUUUUUCCAGGAAAAAUGACAACAGCUUGAACCUACACAUACGAGAUUUGAGAUUCAUCUGGCUGCUUCUAACCAAAAUCCUCCUUCCACGAGAGAGAAGAAUAAAGACAGAAUAGUCCAUGGAGCAGGCCAGACUUGGACCUGUUAAUUAUGAUGAUAAUAUCUGAGAGAUCUGUCAAAAGCUGAGCCUUUAUUUCUUCAGCUUUGCAAGUGGAAUGUAUUACUUCUAAAAUAAUAAUGGGAGCAUCGUAGAGAACACUGCAUGUGGCUGGAAUAAAUCAAGACAGCAGAAUUACUUCAUCAGACCUCUUCUACCCCCUGGCCUGUCUAAGAUUCUUUCUCCUGGAGGCCUCAC